AAAAAAAAACAUUUCCAGUUCCUUCUUCAGGUCUUUUGCCCUAAACUCUCAGCCCCCCUUCUCAUUGUCCCCAAAAUUAGUAGAUUCUCUGUAACACUCCUUCGGAUUGAUUCUUCGUUUACCCCUGAAGUUACAUCCAAGUCUUUAUCCAGUGUUGGCUAUACACUUUUCGGAGUUUAUAAGUUUGGCUGCUAUUAUUCAUUUUGCAAGAGAUCCAGGGUGUAAAACUAAGAAAGUAAAAUGCAGCAACAAGAGAACAGUACAAAAAGUGGCGCUAAAGAGAGCAUGCCAGGGAGUGAACUUUGGACAGAUGGGCUUAUUUGUGCUUUUGAGUUUAUUCGAGGGGCCAGGAAGCAGACAACUAUCUUAAAACCUGGUUCUAGGACAAAUGUUGAUCGACAUAUCAAUGGUAAACACUCGAAGCCAGUGUCUAACGGUACAACCAAUUCUUCUGCUCAUAGUGUCCAAAAUAUCGAUCUUAUAGACUUUGAAUCACUCAUAAAGGUUGGGACAGAUGAAAUUUCUCUUUCAGAUGAGCAAAACGGCCCCGGUAACUAUCAAACUGCCUCCAUGGAUAAACCUAGAGGAAGUCACUGGGUACCAAUUGGUUGGGAUAGAAUUUCUGAACUUGCCCAAACAGUUCAAGUUGAUGGAGGGUGGACCUCACAAUCUACUGAGUUCAUGGACGAUGAAGAUGAUUUUACAGUUGCAGAUGUAGCAGCUCCUUACUGGGAACGGGCAGCAGGGCCUACAUGGUGGUGUCAUGUGGUUGCGGGUCAUAAGUUUAUAGAUUCAUGGCUAACCAAUGCUCAGUGGCUACACCCGGCCAUUAGUCUUGCCUUGAGAGAUGAAAGUCGGUUGAUCAGUGAUCGCAUGAAACACCUUUUGUACGAAGUUCCAGUUAGGGUUGCAGGUGGUAUAUUAUUCGAGUUGUUAGGGCAAUCAGCUGGUGAUCCUUUGGUUGACGAGGAUGACAUUCCUAUUGUACUUCGGUCCUUUAAAGCGCAAAACUUUUUAAUAUCUGUAUUGCAUGUCAAAGGAACUGCUUCAAACAUAAAUGUGUUAGGUAUAACCGAAGUUCAGGAGCUUCUUGCCACUGGUGGUAGCAGUUCACCAAGAACAAUUCACGAAGUAAUAGCGCAACUAGCUUGCCGCCUUUCUCGUUGGGAUGAUAGGCUGUUUCGCAAAUCCAUAUUUGGCGCAGCAGAUGAAAUUGAAUUGAAAUUUAUGGAUAGGAGAAACCAUGAGGAUAUGAAUCUAUUCAGUGUGAUCCUGAACCAGGAACUCAGGAAACUGUCAAGACAGGUUAUCAGGGUUAAAUGGUCACUACAUGCUAGAGAAGAAAUCGUAUUUGAGCUUCUCCACCACUUAAGGGGUAAUGCAGCAAAUAAAUUGUUGGAAGGAAUUCGAAAGAAUACAAGGGAAAUGAUUGAGGAGCAAGAAGCAGUUCGUGGUCGACUCUUUACUAUUCAAGAUGUUAUGCAAAGUACUGUCCGUUCAUGGUUGCAGGAUAAGAGCCUUCGUGUUACUCACAAUUUGACCGUAUUUGGAGGUUGCGGUCUUGUUCUUUCAAUAGUCACGGGAUUAUUUGGGAUUAAUGUAGAUGGAAUGCCCGGGGCUCAAAAUACUCCAUAUGCAUUUGCUCUUUUUUCUGGUCUCCUCAUCCUGUUGGGUAUCCUGUUAAUUGCCGUUGGAAUAUUGUAUCUAGGGUUGAAAAAACCCAUAACUGAAGGACAGGUCCAAAUAAGGAUGUUGGAGCUUCAACGACUUGUUAAAUCAUUCCAACAUGAGGCAGAAACUCAUGCACAAGUUAGGCAGAAGUUCCCCAGGAAUAGCUUACCACCAACUGCGGCUGAUAUGAUUCCCGGAGCAGAGUAUAUACUAAUCCACUGAAGAUAAGUGCCAGGUUUGGGAGCUGAGCUGUUUUGUCAUUAACAGAUUACUUUCUUGAGUACUCCGUCAACUUUUCAGCAAGAUCGGUGUUUAGCAGCAUUCUCAAUGGAUUCAGAAGGAUGUGAUGAAUUCUUUAUGCUCGCAACACCUGUUAGUCCUCAGAUCAUCAUUUAAUCUUCUGGAUGUACAUUAUGAAGGAAGGUGAUUCUGUAGACAAGAAAGUAUGCUAUAGCUGGCCUGAAGAAAGACAGGAAAUAAAAGUUGGGGGAUGGAGUCUGUGGGUAUGAUAGUUAAUUGCGUCAUGUUUAAUGCAGUUAAGCAAAACCAAGAGUAUAAGUUCUUUGUGCUGCUGUCAGUGGAAUAUCUUUCUUGCACCAUUGUCGCGUAUUACCUAAUGGUUACCAGCAGAAAGUCUUGUUUAUACCUGGCUCCAAGGAGAAAUGCAAUAUGCUUAAACAUGAUGUACAGUACCAUUAAUGAAGCAGCUGGAGCCUGGAAGGUCAUACAGUCAUACCUCAUCUAUGAAAACUAGAUUCAGUAAGCCUUUGGAGUAUGCUAUCCUGCUAAAAUACAGGUUCAGCUGAUUUCAGUUGCAGUCUUUCGCUGC